rnacentral:rRNA from 1 species
CCUACGGGAGGCAGCAGUGGGGAAUAUUGCACAAUGGGCGCAAGCCUGAUGCAGCGACGCCGCGUGAGGGAUGACGGCCUUCGGGUUGUAAACCUCUUUCACCAGGGACGAAGAGAAAUUGACGGUACCUGGAGAAGAAGCACCGGCCAACUACGUGCCAGCAGCCGCGGUAAUACGUAGGGUGCGAGCGUUGUCCGGAAUUACUGGGCGUAAAGAGCUCGUAGGCGGUUUGUCGCGUCGUUCGUGAAAUCUUGAUGCUUAACAUCAAGCGUGCGGGCGAUACGGGCAGACUUGAGUACUACAGGGGAGACUGGAAUUCCUGGUGUAGCGGUGAAAUGCGCAGAUAUCAGGAGGAACACCGGUGGCGAAGGCGGGUCUCUGGGUAGUAACUGACGCUGAGGAGCGAAAGCGUGGGUAGCGAACAGGAUUAGAUACCCUGGUAGUCCACGCCGUAAACGGUGGGUACUAGGUGUGGGUCCCUUUUCACGGGAUCCGUGCCGUAGCUAACGCAUUAAGUACCCCGCCUGGGGAGUACGGCCGCAAGGCUAAAACUUAAAUGAAUUGACGG